UUGUCACGAGCGAACUUCCUGAUGCAACAGUAUGGUAACUGCGGGAAACGGACAAGCUCACCUUUUGAUCCGAGGCACUCCGAGCAGUCUUUUGGAGGCUAUUCGAUUUUACAAUUCAAUGCUCAUCAAUCCCCUUCCAAGUUGUGAUAGGAUAUAAAAACAAUAUUGAGCGCAUCUAAGCUUAAACUGUAUUUUGUCCUCCCUACCGGAGACUCCAGGGAGCUCUCCAGCUUGCCAACCAUUGGCGCAUGAAACCUUCAGCCUAUACGUUGAUUCAGUGAGUCAUCACGACGUUAUAGGAAGAGUUUGGUCUGCACUUGGCGUGUCCCUGCAUUUCCCGGUCCUAUAGCUGGCUAGCAGCUCUCGUCUCCGCAACUCUCGUCUCCGCUGCGCACGGUGAGCGCCCGGUAGCCUACCUAUCAUACCCUUGGCGGAGAUGGGUCUGCUCGCUUGUGUCUGUUGGAGUUUGGAGGGGUGCUGGUCGUUUGAGAACACGUGACCUAAUCUGAUCAUACGAUUGUGUCUAGGAUUUGGAAGAAGGGGUUUUCUGGCUACAUCGUGCGCUCGAGGCUCGAAGGUUUUACGCUCAUAGCCUAUAUGUUUUUCCCUCCACUCUCUCUCUAGCUCGCUUGUGCCACCGCUCCGCCUACCCUUUUCGCAACAUUGACGCAACCUAUAAAUACUGGAACAAAAGAACAACUUCCUUGACUCCUGCUGAAAUUGCACUUAAUCGGGACACGGAUCCCUGUUGUCAAGUGAAAGGAAAUAUUGAUACUGGGGUUUAUCUGGCAGCGAUUUGAGCUGUGUCAUCCCACUCGAACACUGGUCUCCGAGGCGCAUAUGUGUGAACAAAGGACUGGGGAUAGUCGGCUCGGCAGAGAGCGUCAGUGGAAAGCAGGCGGGCUGUUUACAAUAAUAACACGAUCCCGGUGACGUCACCUAACUGACAGAAGCCUCCGCCAGAGGUAAAGCCGCUUAACCAUCGCCAACACUCUAUACUUGGAAAGUGGUUACAUCAUCGAGGUACAGAAGGAGGGCGGGACUUCCGAAGGAGUUCAAGAGCUGUUCUGAGUUCAGACAGCCAAAGUGUGAGACUAAUGGAGUUGUACGUUUUAAAAUAGGAAACAAUAUUUGUUUAUAGUGUUGUACAGUUUUUGCAGUUCAUGUUUGCUUUGAACGCUAGAGGAACAAAUACUUCACAUAUUAAACUUGAUUUGAUAGCCUGUUAUGGGUUUCAUCUCAUAGCCUUGCCUACUCCUAAAGGUAUUCACCAAUGAAUCCAGUAUUCACAACAGCCUAUUGUUUGUUCUAUGAAGUUGUGUGAAACAUGGAUGAUAGCCUAAUAUUCACUAUGUGGUUUGAGAAAGUGCCAAGUAGAAGUUUGUCAGGCUUCUCUCCAUUUUCUCUCCCUUUCACCCUGGAUGUGUAAAAUGCAAUUCGUACUCCUGGCGUUUUAAUGUGAUAAGUGUGUGUGUGUGUGUGUCUACACAGCCACAGACUGUGGCUACUUGUGCUGCCUAAGUCCUAAGCAUGCCAAGAAAGUGAGCUCAGUUGGUAGAGCAUGGCGCUUGUAACGCCAGGGUAGUGGGUUCGAUUCCCGGGACCACCCAUACGUAGAAUGUAUGCACACAUGACUGUAAGUCGCUUUGGAUAAAAGCGUCAGCUAAAUGGCAUAUAUUAUUAUUAUAUUAUAUUAUAUUAUAUUAUUAUAUCGUUUAGCAGGUAAAACAUUAAUUUUUUUCUAUGUUGGUAGACACACUUUAGCCAUAUUUUUUUAAAAAUACUAGACCAUAUGAAUGCCUAGGGCGGAGAUCUUUUUUUUACUAAUCGCGAAUUCAACUUGUUUAUGAGUUAUGAAUAUGUAAGGAAAGUGCUAUUAUAAAACAUUAUACAUCUGUGUCCACAUAGUAAGUCCACAUGAGUAAGAGAGAAAGAAAGGGAUAGAGCGAAAGAGAGAGGAGAUACACCAAGGACUAGUGUGACCAGUGCACCGGCUUUGUGUUAAAAAGGGUCAGAGGUCGAUGUUGUGUUUUCAGGGUGACCUGCCAGCGACUAUUAGCCAUUGAUGAAUGUGAUGUUACUCAAGUGUGCUAGUUGGCCCCCUCCCAAAGGGGAGAUGCCCUAACACACCCCCUCUAACCCUACCCCACCUCCACACACACAUGCACACACACACACCACCCCACCCCCUGCACUGCCCUGCUGACAGGAGUACAAGGGGGCAGCUGCUACAGAUGUCUUUUGGAGCGAGGGGGAGGAGCACCAGGGACACAUCAAUAGAGGGGCUCUGGGAGUGUCUCUUUAGAGCACUCUCUCUGGGACUCACAAAGCUGUUUGGAACCAAGAUGUUUGGGACCAAGACAUCUUCAGAUGCAAACAAGUGCAAUAGAGACAGGUUAUGUUAUAUGCAUUUAUGCAGGACUAUGUACGUGUGCUCACAUAUGUAAUAAUGUUAAUAAUAAUCUGUUCAAUAAACAAACUCUAUUUAGGUGCACUGCA